GGGGUUGUGGCUUAGUGGUUGAGUGCCUGCCUAGCACACAUGAAGCCCUGGGUUCAAUUCCCAGCACCA
rnacentral:tRNA from 1 species